rnacentral:rRNA from 1 species
GGGAGCUUGCUCCCGGAUGUUAGCGGCGGACGGGUGAGUAACACGUGGGUAACCUGCCUGUAAGACUGGGAUAACUCCGGGAAACCGGAGCUAAUACCGGAUAGUUCCUUGAACCGCACGGUUCAAGGAUGAAAGACGGUUUCGGCUGUCACUUACAGAUGGACCCCCGGCGCAUUAGCUAUUUGGUGGGGUAAUGGCUCACCAAGGCGACGAUGCGUAGCCCACCUGAGAGGGUGAUCGGCCACACUGGGACUGAGACACGGCCCAAACUCCUACGGGGGGCAGCAGUAGGGAAUCUUCCGCAAUGGACAAAAGUCUGACGGAGCAACGCCCCGUGAGUGAUAAAGGUUUUCGGAUCGUAAAGCUCUGUUGUUAGGGAAAAACAAGUGCGAGAGUAACUGCUCGCACCUUGACGGUACCUAACCAGAAAGCCGCGGCUAACUACUUGCCACCACCCGCGGUAAUACGUAGGUGGCAAGCGUUGUCCGGAAUUAUUGGGCGUAAAGGGCUCGCAGGCGGUUUCUUAAUUCUGAUGUGAAAGCCCCCGGCUCAACCGGGGAGGGUCAUUGGAAACUGGGAAACUUGAGUGCAGAAGAGGAGAGUGGAAUUCCACGUGUAGCGGUGAAAUGCGUAGAGAUGUGGAGGAACACCACUGGCGAAGGCGACUCUCUGGUCUGUAACUGACGCUGAUGAGCGAAAGCGUGGGGAGCGAACAGGAUUAUAUACCCUGGUAGUCCACGCCGUAAACGAUGAGUGCUGAGUUGUUAGGGGGUUUCCGCCCCUUAGUGCUGCAGCUAAC